UGAUGUGGUUGUUAUCAUAAAGUAGAAAAAGAUAUUUUGUGUUCCAAUCAAAUCAUUUAAUCAUCCACCGGUGUUCCUGGAAGACUAAGUCUUUGUUUAUCUAAGAACCAAAUUCCCAACAAAAAGACAAGGCGGCCGCCAGCAGCAGCCUUAGCUUCCAUGGAAAAGCUUCAGAGGCUUAAUUGGCAAAACGAGCACGAUGUUGUGGUUGACAGAAGAUAGAGAGCACAAAUGAACAUAUACACCCAGUCACCCAGACCCAGGAAAAUGAUUGUGUAUGAUCAGUUUUGUGCUCUCUUUUCUUCUGCCAACAUAUUAUAUAUAUUAUGAUCUUCCUGCAGUUCCAGUUCCAGAAAUAUGCAGAUAUGCCCUUCGUUACCGAUGCUAUAUAUUCUUCUUAUAUAAUAUGAUCUUCCAAAGAAGGUAAGAGUUAGUGAUUACAUGUAUAUAUAUAUAUAUAUAGUCUCAUGAUCUUAGUGAUUACAUGUAUAUAUAAGCUCAGAUUAAUUGCACGGAGCAGCAAUUCUUUCUUGGCUCAAGCUCAAGUGCAAUGCAAUGGAUGUCAGGGUUGGAGCUCAGAUGGGUCAAAACACAACACGUACGUUCUUGCUCUUGAGGAGCAGCAGCGUUGUUUGAACUUUGCUACAGAUAAUGAAUGCUGCUGCAAGGGGUUGCCAGAUCUCUCUAGUUUGUUGGUUUUCAUACUUGGGGAAAUGUUGUCUUUGGAUUCUAUAACUAUCAAUUGAUGGAGAGAGAGGCUUCUUCUCUUCUUCAAUCGAUCGAUCGAUCAAUCAAUCAAUCAAGGCUAUGUGUAUAUAUAUCACUCAGUUAGUCAUUCAGUCACAUGAUCGGUUCACUGUUCAUCCAUCUUAUCUUAAUUGGUUUUACAGAA